UACACUCCUACGGGAGGCAGCAGUGAGGAAUAUUGGACAAUGGGUGGAAGCCUGAUCCAGCCAUCCCGCGUGCAGGAAGACGGCCCUAUGGGUUGUAAACUGCUUUUAUCUGGGGAUAAACCUACUUACGUGUAAGUAGCUGAAGGUACCAGAAGAAUAAGCACCGGCUAACUCCGUGCCAGCAGCCGCGGUAAUACGGAGGGUGCAAGCGUUAUCCGGAUUUAUUGGGUUUAAAGGGUCCGUAGGCGGACUGAUAAGUCAGUGGUGAAAUCCGACAGCUUAACUGUCGAACUGCCAUUGAUACUGUUAGUCUUGAGUAAGGUUGAAGUGGCUGGAAUAAGUAGUGUAGCGGUGAAAUGCAUAGAUAUUACUUAGAACACCAAUUGCGAAGGCAGGUCACUAAGUCUUAACUGACGCUGAUGGACGAAAGCGUGGGGAGCGAACAGGAUUAGAAACCCUAGUAGUCCC
rnacentral:rRNA from 1 species